UACGGGGGGGGCAAGCGUUGUUCGGAAUUACUGGGCGUAAAGGGCUCGUAGGCGGCCAACUAAGUCGGAUGUGAAAUCCCCAGGCUUAACCUGGGAACUGCAUCCGAUACUGGAUGGCUUGAAUCCGGGAGAGGGAUGCGGAAUUCCAGGUGUAGCGGUGAAAUGCGUAGAUAUCUGGAGGAACACCGGUGGCGAAGGCAGCUCGCUGGGACGGUACUAACGCUGAGGCGCGAAAGCGUGGGGAGCGAACAGG
rnacentral:rRNA from 1 species